GAUGAACGCUGGCGGCGUGCUUAACACAUGCAAGUCGAACGAGAAGUGAAGACGGAAACCUUCUGGCGGAAGGCUUUAUUUCUAGUGGCGGACUGGUUAGUAACGCGUGGGUAACCUGCCUCAUACAGGGGGAUAACAGUUGGAAACGACUGUUAAUACCGCAUAAGACCACAGCACCGCAUGGUGCGGGGGUAAAAACUCCGGUGGUAUGAGAUGGACCCGCGUUCGAUUAGCCAGUUGGCGGGGUAACGGCCCACCAAAGCGACGAUCGAUAGCCGAUCUGAGAGGAUGACCGGCCACAUUGGGAAUGAGACACGGCCCAAACUCCUACGGGAGGCAGCAGUGGGGAAUAUUGCACAAUGGGGGAAACCCUGAUGCAGCGACGCCGCGUGAGUGAAGAAGUAUUUCGGUAUGUAAAGCUCUAUCAGCAGGGAAGAAAAUGACGGUACCUGAGUAAGAAGCCCCGGCUAACUACGUG
rnacentral:rRNA from 1 species